AUCACUUCUCGGCCUUUUGGCUAAGAUCAAGUGUAGAAAUACGAUGAUUUAAAAUUAAUUUUAUGCUUAGAAUAUUA
ensembl:snRNA U2 U2 spliceosomal RNA